rnacentral:lncRNA from 1 species
UUCGGGAGUUAGAGUGAAACGGUAGCGAGCUAUAAUAGCGGUAGGUUGUUGUUGUGUUUACUUUAUUAGUACUCGCCCCGACACACCAAUCAUUCUUUUACUGAUUAGUUCGAUCUCCUAAGUUUGUAUUGAUUCUUUGACUUAUUAGUUGAGCUGCUGUGUAAGUAGUUAAGCCUGAGUUCCCAGUUAAAGUAUCUUAGUGCGCUGUUUCCCUCUUUGACUACGAUGAUCCUCAACUAAUACAAAUAUAGAGCUAUAAGGCUAUAGGCGGUGUAGGAUCUAGUGCAUCAGAUAGCUAUUAACUAAAAGAAUUCAAAGAACAAGUAAAAGACCUCGAGAUACUGUUUAUAAGACUGAUUAACUACCCACUCUAACAAGAAUAGAGCGACUACUAUAUGAAUGGAACUAACUGGUAGAGGAUGAAACUUGAAACAUGGGAUCCAAAUACUGACUAUGAGACUUGAACACAACUCCAAUAGAUUGAACUGAGUAGCCAAGGAAUCAAACCAACGCCUAAAAGCCUAGCCCUACUAAAGAAAUGAACUCGCUAUCCUGUGUCGAGAGUCACUCUGCCCCUCUUUGCUUGAAAUCUGAGAUAUACCUCCUCGCACCCUGUUUGUUAGCUUCCCUGCCUUACCCGAAAACCGUAUCUCUGCUUUAACUCUGACUGCCGUGUCUAUUAUUCUUUAGCCAAGGCAAUAGAGACUAGGGAAUAGCGUAUAAAGAGUAGAAUCGAACUAGUGCCAACGGGAAUCCAACACUCACUGAUAGACCUACUACUUUACAUAAUACAAAAGAAGUGAACCACUGCCUCUUAGACUUAACUAGGUGCUUCUAAUACUUACCCGACUCGCCCGGAUCC